rnacentral:rRNA from 1 species
UACGUAGGGGCCAAGCGUUGUCCGGAUUUAUUGGGCGUAAAGAGCUCGUAGGCGGUUCGGCAAGUCAGCUGUGAAAUCUCCACGCUCAACGUGGAGGGGUCAGCUGAUACUGCUGUGACUUGAGUCCGGUAGGGGAGUGUGGAAUUCCUAGUGUAGAGGUGAAAUUCGUAGAUAUUAGGAAGAACACCAGUGGCGAAGGCGGCUCACUGGUCCGGUACUGACGCUGAGGUGCGAAAGCGUGGGGAGCAAACAGG